AGGGGUGUCGGUCAGUGGCAGGCCGCGAGUCUCCAAAACUUGCAACGUAGGUUCGAUUCCUACCACCCCUG
rnacentral:tRNA from 1 species